rnacentral:rRNA from 1 species
CAAGUACCGUGAGGGAAAGUUGCAAAGUACUUUGAAGAGAGAGUUCAAGAGGACGUGAAACCGAUAGGAUGGAAGCAGAUGAAGUUGACGAACGAGUGUCGUAUUCAGGGUUGCAUCUUGUGUGCAGUCUGUUCUUGCGGCCGAUGUGGGCCGGCGGCUUUGGUCAAUGCACUGUGUCAAGCGUCGAUGGUGACCCUGCGGAGGGAUAAUCAGUCGGCUGCGAUGCGUGGUAUGGCUAAGGUUUCGCCGGUCUUGAAGUCAGCGCCUCAUCUGACCCGUCUUGAAACACGGACCAAGGAGUGUAGCGUUUACGCGAGUCUUAGAGUGUGUCAAAACUUUGAGGCGCAACGAAAGUGAAUGUAGUUUAAUCUACUGACUUGGGAUGCGUUGUCUCCUGUGGACGGCGCUGGACCAAGGUUAUAUCGAGAUCGCUUGCGAUUCGGUGUAAAUAGAGCGUAAGCGGUGCGACCCGAAAGAUGGUGAACUAUGCCUGAGCAGGAUGAAGCCGGAGGAAACUCUGGUGGAAGUCCGAAGCGGUUCUGACGUGCAAAUCGAUC